rnacentral:rRNA from 1 species
GCUAAUACCGGAUAACAACAGAUGAUGCCUAUCAACUGUUUAAAAGAAUGGUUCUGCUAUCACUCUUGGAUGGACCUGCGGUGCAUUAGCUAGUUGGUAGGGUAACGGCCUACCAAGGCGAUGAUGCAUAGCCGAGUUGAGAGACUGAUCGGCCACAUUGGGACUGAGACACGGCCCAAACUCCUACGGGAGGCAGCAGC